CACCCGAUGGCACAAGGUGUGCAUCUGCUAUUCUUUCCCAAAUAGUGUGUAGUUUAUGCAGAAGUUCCCUGUUCGAUUCGGGGUCGGGUGA